GAAGGUAUAGCUCAGUGGUAGAGCACAUGCUUAGCAUGCACAAGGUCCUGGAUUCAAUCCCCAGUACCUCCA
rnacentral:tRNA from 1 species